rnacentral:rRNA from 1 species
UACGUAGGGUGCGAGCGUUGUCCGGAAUUAUUGGGCGUAAAGGGCUCGUAGGCGGUCUGUCGCGUCGGGAGUGAAAACUCAGGGCUUAACCCUGAGCCUGCUUCCGAUGCGGGCAGACUAGAGGUAUGCAGGGGAGAACGGAAUUCCUGGUGUAGCGGUGGAAUGCGCAGAUAUCAGGAGGAACACCGGUGGCGAAGGCGGUUCUCUGGGCAUUACCUGACGCUGAGGAGCGAAAGUGUGGGGAGCGAACAGG